GAUGAACGCUGCGUUGAGUGCCUAAUACAUGCAAGUCGAGCGAACGGACGAGAAGCUUGCUUCUCUGAUGUUAGCGGCGGACGGGUGAGUAACACGUGGAUAACCUACCUAUAAGACUGGGAUAACUUCGGGAAACCGGAGCUAAUACCGGAUAAUAUUUUGAACCGCAUGGUUCAAAAGUGAAAGACGGUCUUGCUGUCACUUAUAGAUGGAUCCGCGCUGCAUUAGCUAGUUGGUAAGGUAACGGCUUACCAAGGCAACGAUGCAUAGCCGACCUGAGAGGGUGAUCGGCCACACUGGAACUGAGACACGGUCCAGACUCCUACGGGAGGCAGCAGUAGGGAAUCUUCCGCAAUGGGCGAAAGCCUGACGGAGCAACGCCGCGUGAGUGAUGAAGGUCUUCGGAUCGUAAAACUCUGUUAUUAGGGAAGAACAUAUGUGUAAGUAACUGUGCACAUCUUGACGGUACCUAAUCAGAAAGCCACGGCUAACUACGUGCCAGCAGCCGCGGUAAUACGUAGGUGGCAAGCGUUAUCCGGAAUUAUUGGGCGUAAAGCGCGCGUAGGCGGUUUUUUAAGUCUGAUGUGAAAGCCCACGGCUCAACCGUGGAGGGUCAUUGGAAACUGGAAAACUUGAGUGCAGAAGAGGAAAGUGGAAUUCCAUGUGUAGCGGUGAAAUGCGCAGAGAUAUGGAGGAACACCAGUGGCGAAGGCGACUUUCUGGUCUGUAACUGACGCUGAUGUGCGAAAGCGUGGGGAUCAAACAGGAUUAGAUACCCUGGUAGUCCACGCCGUAAACGAUGAGUGCUAAGUGUUAGGGGGUUUCCGCCCCUUAGUGCUGCAGCUAACGCAUUAAGCACUCCGCCUGGGGAGUACGACCGCAAGGUUGAAACUCAAAGGAAUUGACGGGGACCCGCACAAGCGGUGGAGCAUGUGGUUUAAUUCGAAGCAACGCGAAGAACCUUACCAAAUCUUGACAUCCUUUGACAACUCUAGAGAUAGAGCCUUCCCCUUCGGGGGACAAAGUGACAGGUGGUGCAUGGUUGUCGUCAGCUCGUGUCGUGAGAUGUUGGGUUAAGUCCCGCAACGAGCGCAACCCUUAAGCUUAGUUGCCAUCAUUAAGUUGGGCACUCUAAGUUGACUGCCGGUGACAAACCGGAGGAAGGUGGGGAUGACGUCAAAUCAUCAUGCCCCUUAUGAUUUGGGCUACACACGUGCUACAAUGGACAAUACAAAGGGCAGCGAAACCGCGAGGUCAAGCAAAUCCCAUAAAGUUGUUCUCAGUUCGGAUUGUAGUCUGCAACUCGACUACAUGAAGCUGGAAUCGCUAGUAAUCGUAGAUCAGCAUGCUACGGUGAAUACGUUCCCGGGUCU
rnacentral:rRNA from 1 species